AAUGCUGACAUAAGUAACGAUAAAGCGGGUGAAAAGCCCGCUCGCCGGAAGACCAAGGGUUCCUGUCCAACGUUAAUCGGGGCAGGGUGAGUCGACCCCUAAGGCGAGGCCGAAAGGCGUAGUCGAUGGGAAACAGGUUAAUAUUCCUGUACUUGGUGUUACUGCGAAGGGGGGACGGAGAAGGCUAUGUUGGCCGGGCGACGGUUGUCCCGGUUUAAGCGUGUAGGCUGGUUUUCCAGGCAAAUCCGGAAAAUCAAGGCUGAGGCGUGAUGACGAGGCACUACGGUGCUGAAGCAACAAAUGCCCUGCUUCCAGGAAAAGCCUCUAAGCAUCAGGUAACAUCAAAUCGUACCCCAAACCGACACAGGUGGUCAGGUAGAGAAUACCAAGGCGCUUGAGAGAACUCGGGUGAAGGAACUAGGCAAAAUGGUGCCGUAACUUCGGGAGAAGGCACGCUGAUAUGUAGGUGAAGUCCCUCGCGGAUGGAGCUGAAAUCAGUCGAAGAUACC
rnacentral:rRNA from 1 species